CCGGCUGAGGUGAGAUGCCUGGCGCGCAAGAGACCUUGACCAUUCAGGCAAUCCCUUGCAGAUAAAGGAGAGGAGGCUACCGGACAGCCACAUGGAUUAAGCUUCAAGAAGCCAGGGAGAUCCCGGGAGAGUCAUGGAUUGGGGACAAGAGAUGCAGCAGGAAGGAUGCGUGUUGAUUUCUGCAGACCUUGGGGGCAAUUGAGUGGGGCCAGGAUGUUUCCUCACAUGCCUGUGUGUGACGCUGUGUACCCAUGUAUGUGUUGUUUCCACAUUCUUGUUUGAUUCUAGAAAGGUACAUGGAUACAACGCGUGUGGGUGUACGAAGUGUAUGCAUGCUUAUGUGUGCUGCCGGAUAAACAUAUGGCUUUGUG
rnacentral:lncRNA from 1 species